GAUGAACGCUGGCGGCGUGCCUAAUACAUGCAAGUCGAGCGAACGGACGAGAAGCUUGCUUCUCUGAUGUUAGCGGCGGACGGGUGAGUAACACGUGGAUAACCUACCUAUAAGACUGGGAUAACUUCGGGAAACCGGAGCUAAUACCGGAUAAUAUUUUGAACCGCAUGGUUCAAAAGUGAAAGACGGUCUUGCUGUCACUUAUAGAUGGAUCCGCGCUGCAUUAGCUAGUUGGUAAGGUAACGGCUUACCAAGGCAACGAUGCAUAGCCGACCUGAGAGGGUGAUCGGCCACACUGGAACUGAGACACGGUCCAGACUCCUACGGGAGGCAGCAGUAGGGAAUCUUCCGCAAUGGGCGAAAGCCUGACGGAGCAACGCCGCGUGAGUGAUGAAGGUCUUCGGAUCGUAAAACUCUGUUAUUAGGGAAGAACAUAUGUGUAAGUAACUGUGCACAUCUUGACGGUACCUAAUCAGAAAGCCACGGCUAACUACGUGCCAGCAGCCGCGGUAAUACGUAGGUGGCAAGCGUUAUCCGGAAUUAUUGGGCGUAAAGCGCGCGUAGGCGGUUUUUUAAGUCUGAUGUGAAAGCCCACGGCUCAACCGUGGAGGGUCAUUGGAAACUGGAAAACUUGAGUGCAGAAGAGGAAAGUGGAAUUCCAUGUGUAGCGGUGAAAUGCGCAGAGAUAUGGAGGAACACCAGUGGCGAAGGCGACUUUCUGGUCUGUAACUGACGCUGAUGUGCGAAAGCGUGGGGAUCAAACAGGAUUAGAUACCCUGGUAGUCCACGCCGUAAACGAUGAGUGCUAAGUGUUAGGGGGUUUCCGCCCCUUAGUGCUGCAGCUAACGCAUUAAGCACUCCGCCUGGGGAGUACGACCGCGAGGUUGAAACUCAAAGGAAUUGACGGGGACCCGCACAAGCGGUGGAGCAUGUGGUUUAAUUCGAAGCAACGCGAAGAACCUUACCAAAUCUUGACAUCCUUUGACAACUCUAGAGAUAGAGCUUUCCCCUUCGGGGGACAAAGUGACAGGUGGUGCAUGGUUGUCGUCAGCUCGUGUCGUGAGAUGUUGGGUUAAGUCCCGCAACGAGCGCAACCCUUAAGCUUAGUUGCCAUCAUUAAGUUGGGCACUCUAAGUUGACUGCCGGUGACAAACCGGAGGAAGGUGGGGAUGACGUCAAAUCAUCAUGCCCCUUAUGAUUUGGGCUACACACGUGCUACAAUGGACAAUACAAAGGGCAGCGAAACCGCGAGGUCAAGCAAAUCCCAUAAAGUUGUUCUCAGUUCGGAUUGUAGUCUGCAACUCGACUACAUGAAGCUGGAAUCGCUAGUAAUCGUAGAUCAGCAUGCUACGGUGAAUACGUUCCCGGGUCU
rnacentral:rRNA from 1 species